GGUGUGUGCGCGAUACUGCACAUGCUCAGAGUAAUUCUAAGUGAGUUUAUAUAUUAUAUAUGUUUGCGUCUUUUAUUCCCACUCGUGGUCUGAGGGGUCAGCCGCUGUAGGCUUCUGUGCGCGUGCAGGCUGUGCAGACCAAACGACCCCCCCCUCCUGACCACCUCAGCCGCGCUCCUCCACCCUGAUCCUCUUAAACUGACGGAGGCUUCCCCGCUGCUGCGCACGGCUCGCGCGCAGACGGCACUGAGGUUUUUCUUCAUCUGCUCACGACAAGUUCAGCAGCUGCGACGGAAGGAAGCGAGGUUCAGACGCAUGGUUCAAAGACACAAGAGCACCAGAAGCUUCGCUCUGGAGGGAUGCUCACUGAGUGAGGACAGGAUUCCCGAGCCCGGACAGAACUUGACGGGAAACACGAGUGAUCCUGGGAUUUUCCUGAAUGGGAAAGUCUCGCGCAUCAUAGUUCAUCUGCUCCGGCCGCCUUUUUGCUUAACCAAAUGCCACUCUAAUGCCCACAGGUGGGGUUAAAAGCCCCCUGUUUGGCUUGAAAUCGCCUUGACGCCCCUGUGGAGGAUUUCUCUGGCGCUUCGUUCCCGAGGAGCGCAGCACAGCCGCUGAGAUGGACCGACACACUGCGCCAUGCGUCACCGCCAACCUGACAGGAUACUAACCGUCAUUUAUUUAAGACAACUUUCACAUUUUCAGAGUGGUUUAAGGUCUUUUUUCCCCCGUAGCCAUUUUCAGUAAACUUUUGCUCCGCGGUCCUCCUCGUCUUUCUCAUCGUCACUCGGAUUUCCAUGAAGCGACCCAUCGGGUGAUUAUAGCCACUUUCUUUAGAGGAUUUUGCUGUGGGUGCAGCGGGACAUCAUGUGGACGCCGACAGAGGAUGAGAAAAUUGGAGUGGUCAUCUGCAACUUCCGAGGCUCGGUGACUCAGGGUUUGGCUCUGGAGGUGGGGGAGACUGUUCAGAUCCUGGAGAAAUGCGAAGGAUGGUACCGAGGGUUCUCGACGAGGAAGCCAAAUGUCAAGG